rnacentral:rRNA from 1 species
AGGGUUUGAUCCUGGCUCAGGAUGAACGCUGGCGGCGUGCUUAACACAUGCAAGUCGAACGAACCUUCGGGUUAGUGGCGGACGGGUGAGUAACGCGUGAGAAUCUGCCCUCAGGAGGGGGAUAACGGUUGGAAACGACCGCUAAUACCCCAUAUGCCGAUAGGUGAAAUGAAUUUCGCCUGAGGAUGAGCUCGCGUCUGAUUAGCUAGUUGGUAAGGUAAUGGCUUACCAAGGCUUCGAUCAGUAGCUGGUCUGAGAGGAUGAUCAGCCACACUGGGACUGAGACACGGCCCAGACUCCUACGGGAGGCAGCAGUGGGGAAUUUUCCGCAAUGGGCGAAAGCCUGACGGAGCAACGCCGCGUGAGGGACGAAGGCCUCUGGGCUGUAAACCUCUUUUCUCAAGGAAGAAGAUAUGACGGUACUUGAGGAAUAAGCCACGGCUAAUUCCGUGCCAGCAGCCGCGGUAAUACGGGAGUGGCAAGCGUUAUCCGGAAUUAUUGGGCGUAAAGCGUCCGCAGGCGGCUUGUCAAGUCUGCUGUUAAAACGUGGAGCUUAACUCCAUCAUGGCAGUGGAAACUGAUAGGCUUGAGUAUGGUAGGGGCAGAGGGAAUUCCCGGUGUAGCGGUGAAAUGCGUAGAUAUCGGGAAGAACACCAGUGGCGAAGGCGCUCUGCUGGGCCAUUACUGACGCUCAUGGACGAAAGCCAGGGGAGCGAAAGGGAUUAGAUACCCCUGUAGUCCUGGCCGUAAACGAUGAACACUAGGUGUCGGGGGAAUCGACCCCUUCGGUGUCGUAGCUAACGCGUUAAGUGUUCCGCCUGGGGAGUACGCACGCAAGUGUGAAACUCAAAGGAAUUGACGGGGGCCCGCACAAGCGGUGGAGUAUGUGGUUUAAUUCGAUGCAACGCGAAGAACCUUACCAGGGUUUGACAUCCUGCGAACCUCUUAGAAAUUUGAGGGUGCCUUCGGGAAUGCAGUGACAGGUGGUGCAUGGCUGUCGUCAGCUCGUGUCGUGAGAUGUUGGGUUAAGUCCCGCAACGAGCGCAACCCACGUUUUUAGUUGCCAGCAUUUAGUUGGGCACUCUAGAAAGACCGCCGGUGAUAAACCGGAGGAAGGUGUGGAUGACGUCAAGUCAUCAUGCCCCUUACACCCUGGGCUACACACGUACUACAAUGCUACGGACAAAGGGCAGCUAACUCGCGAGAGCAAGCAAAUCCCAUAAACCGUGGCUCAGUUCAGAUCGUAGGCUGCAACUCGCCUACGUGAAGUAGGAAUCGCUAGUAAUCGCAGGUCAGCAUACUGCGGUGAAUACGUUCCCGGGCCUUGUACACACCGCCCGUCACACCAUGGAAGUUGGCCAUGCCCGAAGUCGUUACUCCAACCCUUGUGGAGGAGGACGCCGAAGGUGGGGCUAAUGACUGGGGUGAAGUCGUAACAAGGUAGCCGUA